AUUGAACGCUGGCGGCAUGCUUUACACAUGCAAGUCGAACGGUAACAGGCCUUCGGGUGCUGACGAGUGGCGAACGGGUGAGUAAUGCAUCGGAACGUGCCCAAUCGUGGGGGAUAACGUAGCGAAAGUUACGCUAAUACCGCAUAAGCCCUGAGGGGGAAAGCAGGGGAUCGCAAGACCUUGCGCGAAUGGAGCGGCCGAUGUCAGAUUAGCUAGUUGGUGGGGUAAAGGCCUACCAAGGCGACGAUCUGUAGCGGGUCUGAGAGGAUGAUCCGCCACACUGGGACUGAGACACGGCCCAGACUCCUACGGGAGGCAGCAGUGGGGAAUUUUGGACAAUGGGCGCAAGCCUGAUCCAGCCAUGCCGCGUGCGGGACGAAGGCCUCGGUUGUAACGC
rnacentral:rRNA from 1 species